GAUGAACGCUGGCGGCGUGCCUAAUACAUGCAAGUCGAGCGAACAGAUGAGGAGCUUGCUCCUCUGACGUUAGCGGCGGACGGGUGAGUAACACGUGGAUAACCUACCUAUAAGACUGGGAUAACUUCGGGAAACCGGAGCUAAUACCGGAUAAUAUAUUGAACCGCAUGGUUCAAUAGUGAAAGACGGUUUUGCUGUCACUUAUAGAUGGAUCCGCGCCGCAUUAGCUAGUUGGUAAGGUAACGGCUUACCAAGGCAACGAUGCGUAGCCGACCUGAGAGGGUGAUCGGCCACACUGGAACUGAGACACGGUCCAGACUCCUACGGGAGGCAGCAGUAGGGAAUCUUCCGCAAUGGGCGAAAGCCUGACGGAGCAACGCCGCGUGAGUGAUGAAGGUCUUCGGAUCGUAAAACUCUGUUAUUAGGGAAGAACAAAUAUGUAAGUAACUAUGCACGUCUUGACGGUACCUAAUCAGAAGGCCACGGCUAACUACGUG
rnacentral:rRNA from 1 species